rnacentral:rRNA from 1 species
GCCAUUACGGCCGGGUGAACGUAUUUGACUAUGGGGGAUUUCUGCCCAGUGCUCGGAAAGGAAUGUGAGGAAAUUUGUGUAGCGAGGGGGAAGGGGGGGGGUAGCUAUGAUUCUCUUAUUGCAGAAAAUGCCUCGUUAUCUAAUUAGAGAUGAGCAUGAAUGGAUUAACGAGAUUCCUAGUGGCCCUAUCUAUUAUCUAGCGAAACCAUCUCCAAGGGAACGGGCUUGGCAGAAUUAGCGGGGAAAGAAGACCCUGCUGAGCUUGACUCUAGUCCGACUUUGUGAGGAGACAUGACGGGUGUAGAGUAAGUGGGAGAUGGGCUUCGGCCUGUCGCCAGUGAAAUACCACUACCGUCAUCGUUUCUUUGCUUAUUCAGUAAAACGGGAACAAUAUUUUGGUCCUAAGCACAUGCCGGCAUGCGUGGUUUCGCUGCCGGUGUCGGUAUCUUGGUCAUGCCAAAUGAGUCGUGACUUCGGUUGCGGCGUUUGAGUCUGGAUGUGAUGUGCGACCCGUUCUGAACACAAUGUCAGGCGGGGAGUUUGACUGGGGCGGUACAUCUGUCAAAUGGUAACGCAGGUGUCCCAAGGUGAGCUCAGCCAGGACGGAAACCUGGCGUGGAGUAAAAGGACAAAAGCUUACUUGAUUUUGAUUUUCAGUACGAAUACAGACCGUGAAAGCGCGACCUAUCGAUCCUUUUGAUUUUGAUAUUCGGAGUUUGAAGCAAGAGGUGUCAGAAAAGUUACCACAGGUAUAACUGGCUUGUGGCGGCCAAGCGUUCAUAGCGACGUCGCUUUUUGAUCCUUCUAUGUCGGCUCUCCCUAUCGUUGUGACGCAAAAUUCUUCUUGCGUUGGAUUGUUCACCCACUAAUAGGGAACGUGAGCUGGGUUUAGACCGUCGAGAGACGGGUUAGUGUUACUCUACUAUUGAGUACAAUGACUCAAUGCAGUACAAACUGGCCGUUGCUAUGGUGAUCCUGUUUAGUACGACAGGAACCGCACGUUCAGACAUUUGGUAUAUGUGCCUGGCCGAAAGGCCAAUGGUGCGAAGCUACCAUCUGAGGCAUUACGACUGAGCGCCUCCAAGUCUGACUCCCGUCCAGAUAUGCCACGGUACAUUCUGUACCUGUUACGUGACAAGGCUUGAUUACGUUUUCCCUAUUGGCGCUUGGACCAGACUAUGUGUCUGGCCUGGUCCCAUUACGGUCUC